GAUGAACGCUGGCGGCGUGCCUAAUACAUGCAAGUCGAGCGAACAGACGAGGAGCUUGCUCCUCUGACGUUAGCGGCGGUCGGGUGAGUAACACGUGGAUAACCUACCUAUAAGACUGGGAUAACUUCGGGAAACCGGAGCUAAUACCGGAUAAUAUAUUGAACCGCAUGGUUCAAUAGUGGAAGACGGUUUUGCUGUCACUUAUAGAUGGAUCCGCGCCGCAUUAGCUAGUUGGUAAGGUAACGGCUUACCAAGGCAACGAUGCGUAGCCGACCUGAGAGGGUGAUCGGCCACACUGGAACUGAGACACGGUCCAGACUCCUACGGGAGGCAGCAGUAGGGAAUCUUCCGCAAUGGGCGAAAGCCUGACGGAGCAACGCCGCGUGAGUGAUGAAGGUCUUCGGAUCGUAAAACUCUGUUAUUAGGGAAGAACAAAUGUGUAAGUAACUAUGCACGUCUUGACGGUACCUAAUCAGAAAGCCACGGCUAACUACGUG
rnacentral:rRNA from 1 species